UACGGGGGGGGCAAGCGUUGCUCGGAAUCACUGGGCGUAAAGGGUGCGUAGACGGGUCUUUAAGUCAGGGGUGAAAUCCUGGAGCUCAACUCCAGAACUGCCUUUGAUACUGAGGAUCUUGAGUUCGGGAGAGGUGAGUGGAACUGCGAGUGUAGAGGUGAAAUUCGUAGAUAUUCGCAAGAACACCAGUGGCGAAGGCGGCUCACUGGCCCGAUACUGACGCUGAGGCACGAAAGCGUGGGGAGCAAACAGG
rnacentral:rRNA from 1 species